ensembl:snRNA U6 U6 spliceosomal RNA
GUGCUCAUUUCAGCAGCACAUAUACUAAAAUUAGAAUGAUACAGAGAUGAUUAGCAUGGCCACUGUGCCAGGAUGGCACACAAAUUCGUGAAGUUUUACAACUGUUA